UUCCAAACCUGGAUGCCAUGGCCAACAGCCCCAAAGCAAUUGUUCCCGGUAGAUCGCUGCCAAACCCGUGGUAUACGCUGUGUCUGACCAUCUGGUUGGAGAAGUGUCAGACAAUCCUGGAAGGAACAUGCUUUUACAUGCCAAGUGGUUAAGAAAUCCCCCCCAUGUGCAGGUCUGCUGUUGCUGAGGUGUCUAGGCACUUCCUCUGAUCGUCAUGUUGGAAGUGUGGAAAAAAGGGGAAAGUACUCUGGAUGUGAAAGCGUGGUCUUGUGGUAUGAUUGGCAUGGCAAAAUUAAGGAACCUGGUAGGGAUUGUAGUUCCUUGUAGUUGUAAGUACUAAGCAGGAGGUAGUGAUUGAUUUAGUUGAGAAUGUUCCCUAUUUGUCUUGUGGUAACUUGCGUGUAUGGAUGCCGACUCAAGUCAUAUGCCCAGUAAUGUGAUGAUAGUGUCUGCGCCUUCUGUUUCUUAUGGGGUACUGGGACGCCCAAG